AUUGAACGCUGGCGGCAUGCCUUACACAUGCAAGUCGAACGGUAACGGGCCUUCGGGUGCCGACGAGUGGCGAACGGGUGAGUAAUGUAUCGGAACGUACCUUUCAGUGGGGGAUAACGUAGCGAAAGUUACGCUAAUACCGCAUAUUCUGUGAGCAGGAAAGCAGGGGAUCGCAAGACCUUGCGCUGAUUGAGCGGCCGAUAUCAGAUUAGCUAGUUGGUGAGGUAAAGGCUCACCAAGGCGACGAUCUGUAGCGGGUCUGAGAGGAUGAUCCGCCACACUGGAACUGAGACACGGUCCAGACUCCUACGGGAGGCAGCAGUGGGGAAUCUUAGGCAAUGGACGAAAGUCUGACCUAGCGACGCCGCGUGAGGGAAGAAGGCCUUCGGGUUGUAAACCUCUGUCAUGGGGGAAGAAGUAAGUGACGGUACCCCAAGAGGAAGCCCCUGCUAACUACGUG
rnacentral:rRNA from 1 species